UGUCCCCUGUAGUAGACGUUAGUUGGCCGGGAUAAAUCUUGAGCCGUAAUUCACAUCCCCGGGGACCACAUUCCGGUGUUGUGAGCAGGUCCGCCUCGUAGCGGAAAGCCUAAUGCACUGGUCGAGGUUCCCACUUGAACCCCUGGUUCAGGACGAAGGUCACGACGCUACUAUUAUGGGGGAUAC
rnacentral:other from 1 species